rnacentral:rRNA from 1 species
GGAGGAAAAGAAACUAACAAGGAUUCCCCUAGUAACUGCGAGUGAAGCGGGAAAAGCUCAAAUUUAAAAUCUGGCAGUCUUUGGCUGUCCGAGUUGUAAUCUAGAGAAGUGUUACCCGCGUUGGACCGUGUAUAAGUCUCCUGGAAUGGAGCGUCAUAGAGGGUGAGAAUCCCGUCUUUGACACGGACUCCCAAGGCUUUGUGGUAUGCUCUCAAAGAGUCGAGUUGUUUGGGAAUGCAGCUCAAAAUGGGUGGUAAAUUCCAUCUAAAGCUAAAUAUUGGCGAGAGACCGAUAGCGAACAAGUACCGUGAGGGAAAGAUGAAAAGAACUUUGGAAAGAGAGUUAAACAGUACGUGAAAUUGCUGAAAGGGAAACGCUUGAAGUCAGUCGCGUUGGCUAGAAAUCAACCUUGCUUUUGUUGGGUGUACUUUCUGGUUGACGGGUCAGCAUCAGUUUUGACUGGUAGAAAAAGUUCAGGGGAAUGUGGCAUCUUCGGAUGUGUUAUAGCCCUUGGUCGUAUAUACCAGUUGGGACUGAGGAACUCAGCACGCCGCAAGGCCGGGUCUUUGACCACGUUCGUGCUUAGGAUGCUGGCAUAAUGGCUUUAAUCGACCCGUCUUGAAACACGGACCAAGGAGUCUAACAUGCCUGCGAGUGUUUGGGUGGAAAACCCGAGCGCGUAAUGAAAGUGAAAGUUGAGAUCCUUGUCAUGGGGAGCAUCGACGCCCGGACCUGAAGUUUUCUGACGGCUCUGCGGUAGAGCAUGUAUGUUGGGACCCGAAAGAUGGUGAACUAUGCCUGAAUAGGGUGAAGCCAGAGGAAACUCUGGUGGAGGCUCGUAGCGAUUCUGACGUGCAAAUCGAUCGUCAAAUUUGGGUAUAGGGGCGAAAGACUAAUCGAACCAUCUAGU